rnacentral:rRNA from 1 species
GACGAACGGUCCUAGCGUUGUUCGGAAUCACUGGGCUUAAAGAGCGCGUAGGCGGCUUGCCAAGUCAGGGGUGAAAUCCUGCAGCUUAACUGUAGAAGGGCCUUUGAUACUGGCGAGCUCGAGGGAGGUAGGGGUAUGUGGAACUUCCGGUGGAGCGGUGAAAUGCGUUGAUAUCGGAAGGAACGCCGGUGGCGAAAGCGACGUACUGGACCUCUUCUGACGCUGAGGCGCGAAAGCUAGGGGAGCAAACGGG